rnacentral:sRNA from 1 species
AGCUAGGGGUUUCAGAGGGAGUACACGUAAGGGGCAAAAGCAGCAACGGAAUACGACAACGGAAUAAGCAUGAAUACGACCUGGCUACCUGAAGGAGGUACAAGAAAAUUCCCCAGGACACAGAGCUGGUUUGGAGCCUUUCUUUGAUUUUAUUGUUUCUAUUAAUGGUUCAAGAUUAAAUAAAGACAAUGACACUCUUAAGGAUCUGCUGAAAGCAAACGUUGAAAAGCCUGUAAAGAUGCUUAUCUAUAGCAGCAAAACAUUGGAACUGCGAGAGACCUCAGUCACACCAAGUAACCUGUGGGGCGGCCAGGGCUUAUUGGGAGUGAGCAUUCGUUUCUGCAGCUUUGAUGGGGCAAAUGAAAAUGUUUGGCAUGUGCUGGAGGUGGAAUCAAAUUCUCCUGCAGCACUGGCAGGUCUUAGACCACACAGUGAUUAUAUAAUUGGAGCAGAUACAGUCAUGAAUGAGUCUGAAGAUCUAUUCAGCCUUAUCGAAACACAUGAAGCAAAACCAUUGAAACUGUAUGUGUACAACACAGACACUGAUAACUGUCGAGAAGUGAUUAUUACACCAAAUUCUGCAUGGGGUGGAGAAGGCAGCCUAGGAUGUGGCAUUGGAUAUGGUUAUUUGCAUCGAAUACCUACACGCCCAUUUGAGGAAGGAAAGAAAAUUUCUCUUCCAGGACAAAUGGCUGGUACACCUAUUACACCUCUUAAAGAUGGGUUUACAGAGGUCCAGCUGUCCUCAGUUAAUCCCCCGUCUUUGUCACCACCAGGAACUACAGGAAUUGAACAGAGUCUGGCUGGACUUU